rnacentral:misc_RNA from 1 species
GAAGCAUAUAUGGAGUAAGGAUCCGCAAGGAGUUUUCACUUUGCAAAAUCUGAAAUCAGUUCAUGUUCGAAGGUUUAAUGUCCUGAAAAAUAUCUUUCCAGCCUCCAUAGCCCAAGGUCUUUUGAAACUUGAAAAGCUUGCAUUAGGAUUGUGUGAGGAAGUGGAGGAGAUAGUUGCACAGGAAGAAGGUGUAGAUCUGAAAAAUAUCUUUCCUCAGUUACACACUCUUAUAUUUUCACAUCUACCAAAACUGAGGAGUUUCUAUUCAGGAGGGACUACCAAUACUUUUGAGUGGCCGAAAUUGAAAUUUUUGGAAGUGGAAAAUUGUGACAAAGUGAGGAAAUUCGGUUCAGAAAUUUCAGAUGAAAAAGAAGUGGGCCAACAAAGCAUCCCAAUUGAAAAACCUCUCUUUUUCUGGGGAAAGGUUAGUCCCAAAUUGGAGGAAUUGACAUUGGAGCACAAGGACUUGAGUGCGAUACAACAUGGUUUAUUGCCAUUUCAGUGUUUUUCCAAACUCAGAGUUCUAAACUUGCUCUCUCUGCGGGAUGAAUCACGUCCUUUUCUAAUCCUUAUCCUUAAAAGAGUAUCCCAUCUGGAUAAAAUUUGUGUAUCACACUCUUAUCUAGAUCUAGAAGAGUUAUUCUCACCUGAAGGACUUGCUGGGGAGGAGGAACAUGCUAUUGCUAGGAUACUUACACAGGUGAAAAACUUGGAGUUACAAUCUCUUAAUAAUUUGAAGUGUAUUUGGAAU